rnacentral:snRNA from 1 species
GUGCUAGAUUCCACAGCACAUUUACUGAACUGGAAGGGUAAAGAGAAGAUAAACAUGCCUCUGUGCAAGGAUAAUAGGCAAAUAUGUGAAACACUCCAUAUGUUU